rnacentral:rRNA from 1 species
UACGGAGGGUGCAAGCGUUGUCCGGAAUCACUGGGCGUAAAGGGCGCGUAGGCGGCUCAUGAAGGCUGUGGUGAAAGUCCGGGGCUCAACCUCGGAUCGGCCGUGGCGACUCGUGGGCUGGAGCACUGUAGAGGCAGGUGGAAUUCCGGGUGUAGCGGUGGAAUGCGUAGAGAUCCGGAAGAACACCGAUGGCGAAGGCAGCUCACUGGGACGGUACUGACGCUGAGGCGCGAAAGCGUGGGGAGCAAACAGG